UUUAAUCAUCAAAAGACUUCCUUUGUGAGAAAGUUCAAGGAGCCAGAGCCACGUAUCACAAGAAUUGUUACCUCACAUGUGAGGUUGGGUAACUGAUUAACAGAACUGUAUUGUGCACUCACUGGAGUCCUGGCACUGGGUACACGAAAGGAACCUCCUAUGAAGUUCAUAGAGAAAUAUUCUGGCUGUCAUCUUUGUGAAGAGAACAAUCUGCUUUUAUUUCUCAAUAAUAAAGCGUUUUGAGAUUAUGCAAGUUCACCAAUGCAAGAUGGUCAUUAACUGUUUAAGUGACAGUCGGACUACUGCACGUUGUUUUUGUUUCUUUCUGUUUCAUUUGCAAUCGAUUUACCAUUAGUUUUCACUUACAACCUCUGUGCUUCUGGUGAAGAAGGAACAACCUUUCACAUUUAAAACGUUGUCAAGCGGUCAGCACUGCUUGUGUCUGUGCUUUUAUCAUCUGGAGAGGGUCUGGGAGCUAGACUGAGGAGGCUGUCCAGUUUGUUUUGGAGGUUAUUUGUUGACUGUAACUUCAGUAGCUGAAAGCAGGUGCUGCUUGGAAGACGCCGUAGGACUUGGAAUUGUCUAUGUCUGAGGAAGGAAGCUUUUUAGAAACCAUUGGCUCUUGCUGCCUCCUUCACAUGAAUAUAAUGAUGUUGCUCCAGUGUUCCACCAUGAAAAAUAUCAAUCAAGUCUCCUAGAUGUGCUUUGUGGGAGAAAAUAUGAGCAGUAAGGUGUGUGCCACCACUGGUAGCAUACACGAUUGUGUGCCACAAUGACAGAAUCUCUUGCUAUGGAGUAGCUGAAUGAACCAUUAAUUCAACCUUCCUUCUGAAAAGAGAAAGCUUAGUAGUCUUACUGAGUAUUGUACUGAUACUUAUCUAUGUAAAAUACUUUUUUUUCCUUAACGAAUUCCCAUUAAUUGUUUAUAGCUAACUCAAAUUUAUUCAAAAAGUUUUUGUGAUACAAUUUAUAAGAAUUCUUUGGGAUCUCUGGGUGCUUCCCAACUGUUGAAUUGUUGAUGUGUUUUGUUAAACUUCUUACUCUGAUCAUCACUUCAUGUAUUAACAUAUUCAUGAUGAGUGAAUGCAAAAGGGAACACAAAGACAAGAAACACAUUCAAAUAUUAAUUUGAGUGAAUACUUUUUGAAGAUUUGAUCUGGUGCUAUUCAAAAUGCGGUGCUUCUGAAUCAGGAGCAAUAAAGUCACAAGAGAGAGUGCUGGAAGUAAUCCAUGGACAUCCUGUUCUUAUUAGAAGUGGGCUAAAGCAUUCUGACAGAUUUCAAACCUGCUGAAAUAUUCUUCUUCUUUUUUUUUUUACUUCUUUUACACCAGCAUUACUGGGAGCACAUCUUACUUAUCUGUUUAAGGGUGGCUAUGAAAAAGGGAGAAGACAGAGAUAUAUUUGGUGAAAAAUAGGGUGAGAAAAGAAGCAGAGAGUUGACUGUGUGAAGAAAGAAAGAGACACCCUGGGAAAGCAGCAGAGAAAAGGGAAAGAAAAGAAAUCCUAAUUUUUUAAAAUAUGACUCCUUAGAACUGAGACUGUGCCAAACCCUGGACUUGGAGGCUGUUCUGUCCUUAAUACAUUGCACAUGAUUGUCUGUAGCUAGAAAAACAUUUUUUGUGGGUUUUGAAAAAUCAAAUUACCCUUAUAUGAAAUAAAACAAACUAUGAGUUUAUAUGGCAGAGUAAAAAGAAACCAAAUUCAUUUUGCAAGCCUUUAGAGAGUUUAAAAAUCCCUUAGGCUCACAAAAACUCAAACUCCGUAGCGUUCAAAUAUUCAAAUGUUGUAGGAGGUACAAUUGACUUAAUUCCAUUUACUUUAAUUAAGUUUUCAUCAGACUCUUUCUAUUUAGUUAACUGAUUCUCCUCUCAAGGCAUGUUUAUAUUAAGGGCAAGAUCCAAAAUACCAUAUGGAUACUUCCUGUGCAAUCUAGAUAGCCAUUAAGUAAGGAGAUUGGUUAUAAAACCUGUGUAACUUUAAAAGCUACAAGACUGUAGGCAGUUUGGUAUCCCUUAGGAAUGCCUUUCUGCUCCAUAUCUGAAGCAUGGGCCUCAAGCUUAGCAUCUUGGCAGACCAGCAGGGUCUGUUCUCAGAUGCCAUGCUGCCUACCUAAGCUUAUGACACUCAAACCUGCAAUGCCAGCUUGUCUUCUACAAAAGUGAUACCUAUUGAGUGGGUGACAAAACUGGGAUGUACAUGGAGUUAGAUGCUGAAACAAGGUGUGUAAAGCCUCUGAUAGGCAAUAGAGACACCAUGCAAUUGAGUGGAGGUAAGAACGGCUGUCCAGGGUCACGACAAGAAUUCACCCAGCCCUGCUACUUGACUGGCAGGGAGGCAUGAUGGUCAUGAAGGUGAUUUCCUAGGUAGGGCCUCAUUCCUUGUACUUCUGGUGACCUGACCACUGAAAAUUCUGUGAUCUAGGGAACUACACUGUAAAAUUUGUAAUGUGAGAUACUGUAUAUGUAUGUUUUCUUAAAUUAAAACACAAUCCCACCUCCAAACUCCCAUUAAUGUUAAGUG
ensembl:lncRNA